AUGGCCUGGGCUCUGCUCCUUGUCACCCUCCUCACUCAGGACACAGGGUCCUGGGCCCAGUCUACCCUGACUCAGCCUGCCUCCGUGUCCGGGAAUCCAGGAGCGACGGUCACCAUCUCCUGUGCUAGCACCAGCGGUGACAUCGGAAGUUAUAACUAUGUCAGCUGGUACCAACAGCACCCGGGCUCGGACCCCAAACUCCUGAUUUAUCAGGACAGUAAACGGCCCUCAGGGAUCCCGGAUCGCUUCUCUGGCUCCAAGUCUGGGAACACGGCCACCCUGACCAUCUCUGGGCUCCAGGCUGAGGACGAGGCUGUUUAUUCCUGUGGCAUAGCUAGUGGUAGUAGUACUUUCUUUUGUGGUUCUGGCUCCUGGCUCUCAUGA